rnacentral:rRNA from 1 species
UACGUAGGGUGCAAGCGUUAAUCGGAAUUACUGGGCGUAAAGCGUGCGCAGGCGGUUGUGCAAGACAGAUGUGAAAUCCCCGGGCUCAACCUGGGAACCUGCAUUUGUGACUGCACGGCUGGAGUGCGGCAGAGGGGGAUGGAAUUCCGCGUGUAGCAGUGAAAUGCGUAGAUAUGCGGAGGAACACCGAUGGCGAAGGCAAUCCCUGG